AGUAUAGUAGCAUUGAUACCUAAUACUAGUUAUACUAUUGGAGUGAGAGCAUAUACUAGUAUUAGACCAGGAGAUUGGACUCAUAGAGAACAUACUACAUCUCAAAUACCUGUCAUUCAAACCUUUUCUAUAACAAAGCUCAGUUCUACAGCAGUGGUAGCUAAGUGGGGUUCAGUUGCUGGAGCUAGUCAUUAUACUGUCUAUUAUGAGUCAACCAGUAG